ACGCUCGACACCUACGGGAGGCAGCAGUCGGGGAAUAUUGCACAAUGGGGGAAACCCUGAUGCAGCGACGCCGCGUGGAGGAAGAAGGUCUUCGGAUUGUAAACUCCUGUUGUUGGGGAAAAAGAGGAUGGUACCCAACAAGGAAGUGACGGCUAACUACGUGCCGGCAGCGCGGUAAUCUGAGCGGGCUGGCAAGGC
rnacentral:rRNA from 1 species